CUGGGAGAUCACCUUCAGCACCAACAUGUUCUCUGUAGCUCUGCUGCUGCUGCUGCUGGCUGCUGGAUCCUGUGUAAACUGCGAGCAGCUGACACAGUCACCCUCUGUUAUACUGCAGCCAGGUCAGCGUCUGACCAUCACCUGUCAGGUUUCUUAUUCUCUUGGCUACUGGACAGCUUGGAUCAGACAGCCUGCAGGGAAAGGACUGGAGUGGAUUGGGAUGAAAGAUACUGGGAGCUCUUACUAUAAAGAUUCACUAAAGAGCAAGUUCAGCAUUGACUUGGACACUUCAAGCAAGACAGUGACUCUAAAUGGACAGAACAUGCAGCCUGAAGACACUGCUGUGUAUUACUGUGCCAGAGAGUCACAGUAACACAAACUGUUAAGACCCCUGAACAAAAACCUCUCAGGGCCUGAACAACUGUAGCAUGAAGCCACCAGAGGAGGAGCUCUAAGACCAUGAAUGAAUUUAAGAUGUUUUUCUAAGAAACUUACUCUUGUUGUAGUCUCAUAACUGUUUAAAUAUGGUGGGUUUAAAUGAUGAGUAA